AACGAACGCUGGCGGCAUGCCUAACACAUGCAAGUCGAACGAGACCUUCGGGUCUAGUGGCGCACGGGUGCGUAACGCGUGGGAAUCUGCCCUUGGGUUCGGAAUAACAGUUGGAAACGACUGCUAAUACCGGAUGAUGACGUAAGUCCAAAGAUUUAUCGCCCAGAGAUGAGCCCGCGUAGGAUUAGCUAGUUGGUGGGGUAAAGGCCUACCAAGGCGACGAUCCUUAGCUGGUCUGAGAGGAUGAUCAGCCACACUGGGACUGAGACACGGCCCAGACUCCUACGGGAGGCAGCAGUGGGGAAUAUUGGACAAUGGGCGAAAGCCUGAUCCAGCAAUGCCGCGUGAGUGAUGAAGGCCUUAGGGUUGUAAAGCUCUUUUACCCGGGAUGAUAAUGACAGUACCGGGAGAAUAAGCCCCGGCUAACUCCGUG
rnacentral:rRNA from 1 species